rnacentral:rRNA from 1 species
AUUGAACGCUGGCGGCAUGCCUUACACAUGCAAGUCGAACGGCAGCGCGGGGCAACCUGGCGGCGAGUGGCGAACGGGUGAGUAAUAUAUCGGAACAUACCCUAGAGUGGGGGAUAACGUAGCGAAAGUUACGCUAAUACCGCAUACGCACUAAGGUGGAAAGUGGGGGAUUCGCAAGAACCUCAUGCUCAUGGAGUGGCCGAUAUCUGAUUAGCUAGUUGGUGAGGUAAAGGCUCACCAAGGCAACGAUCAGUAGCUGGUUUGAGAGAACGACCAGCUACACUGGAACUGAGACACGGUCCAGACUCCUACGGGAGGCAGCAGUGGGGAAUUUUUGGACAAAUGGGGGCGAACCCUGAUCCAGCAAUGCCGCGUGAGUGAUGAAGGCCU